AAAUAAUUAGCUCAGAUGGUAGAGUGCUAGAGAAAUUUAGAGGUCCUAGGUUCGAAUCCUAGAUUAU
rnacentral:tRNA from 1 species